CGGGUCCCUUCGUUCCGCUUCUGCCGGCCCCGAGGGCAGCUUCGCGGGAGCUGCCCUGCCUGCUGUGUUCUUCCCUGCUCCGGAGCCGGGGGAGGGGGAAAGAGGCUGCUACGCGAACGAUGGGGUGGGAGCAGCAGAGGUAUGUGUCAUCCACCUGCUGACAUGGUCUGCAAAAGAAAACUUGUUCCGGAGACCUCAUCACCACUGAGAGAGACAAG
rnacentral:lncRNA from 1 species